rnacentral:rRNA from 1 species
GACGGGGCCGCACAAGCGGAGGAGUAUGUGGUUUAAUUCGAUGCAACGCGAAGAACCUUACCUGGUCUUGACAUCCCGGAGACCCUUAGGAAACUAGGGGGUGCUUCCAUCUGGAAGAAUCUGGAGACAGGUGCUGCAUGGCUGUCGUCAGCUCGUGUCGUGAGAUGUUGGGUUAAGUCCCGCAACGAGCGCAACCCUUGCCUUUAGUUGCCAGCAGUUCGGCUGGGCACUCUAAAGGGACUGCCGGUGUUAAACCGGAGGGAGGUGGGGAUGACGUCAAGUCCUCAUGGCCUUUAUGACCAGGGCUACACACGUACUACAAUGGCCGAUACAAAGGGCAGCGACACUGCGAGGUGAAGCCAAUCCCGUAAAAUCGGUCUCAGUCCGGAUUGGAGUCUGCAACUCGACUCCAUGAAGUUGGAAUCGCUAGUAAUCGCGGAUCAGCAUGCCACGGUGAAUACGUUCCCGGGCCUU